AUGGAGACCAAGGCCAUCAGUCCACAGUUCAGAGCGCAGAAACUCCUCCACGCUGUGAAACGUUCCCUUCAAGGAUUCUGGAAGGCAAAGGUGUCCACCUGGGGUAAGGAAAGCAAGCUCGGAAGUGCUCUGUUACGGGAUGCUGCGUUUCACCAGUUGCAGUGUCCAGCAAAUCAUGGCAUGCCUACAUAUUUAAACAAAAACACAAUUGUGUCAAAAAUUAAAGAUGAACCCAAGACACAUAAUGUGUCACUCCCACCUGGCAGUUGGCUUCCCCUGUAUGACUUUGUUGCACAUGAUCAGUGUCAGCCCACUGGAGAGCUGUCAUCUCCCUUCUCUCUCCUUGGAAACUUCCACAGGAAAUCAUGUUAUUUCAGGGAAUAGCAAACUAAUAAAUCCUGGCAAAUAAUUCUGACUUGUGUAAUC
rnacentral:lncRNA from 1 species